GAUGAAGAACGUAGCGAAAUGCGAUACGUAAUGUGAAUUGCAGAAUUCAGUGAAUCAUCGAAUCUUUGAACGCAUAUUGCGCUCUCUGGUAUUCCGGAGAGCAUGCUUGUUUGAGUAUCAGUAAACACCUCAACUUCCAUAUCUUUUUUGAAAUGGGAGCUGGACUUGAGUGAUCCCAACGCUUUUCUCACCGAAAAGUGGCGGGUUACUUGAAAUGCAGGUGCAGCUGGACUUUUCUCUGAGCUAAAAGCAUAUCUAUUUAGUCUGCCUAAAAAACAGAUUAUUACCUUUGCUGCAGCUAACAUAAAGGAGAUUAGUUCUUGUGCUGACUGAUGCAGGAUUCACAGAGACAGCUUCGGCUGGCCUUUGUAAACUCGAUCUCAAAUCAAGUAAGACUACCCGCUGAACUUAAGCAUAUCAAUAAGCGGAGGA
rnacentral:misc_RNA from 1 species